rnacentral:rRNA from 1 species
UACGGAGGGUGCAAGCGUUAUCCGGAUUCACUGGGUUUAAAGGGUGCGUAGGCGGGUUGGUAAGUCAGUGGUGAAAUCUUCAAGCUUAACUUGGAACUGCCGUUGAUACUAUCAAUCUUGAAUAUUGUGGAGGUGAGCGGAAUAUGUCAUGUAGCGGUGAAAUGCUUAGAUAUGACAUAGAACACCAAUUGCGAAGGCAGCUCACUACACAGUUAUUGACGCUGAGGCACGAAAGCGUGGGGAUCAAACAGG